rnacentral:rRNA from 1 species
UACGUAGGGGGCUAGCGUUGUCCGGAAUCAUUGGGCGUAAAGAGCGUGUAGGCGGUCCGGUAAGUCCGCUGUGAAAGUCGGGGGCUCAACCCUCGAAUGCCGGUGGAUACUGUCGGGCUAGAGUGCGGAAGAGGCGAGUGGAAUUCCUGGUGUAGCGGUGAAAUGCGCAGAUAUCAGGAGGAACACCGAUGGCGAAGGCAGGUCUCUGGGCCACUACUGACGCUGAGAAGCGAAAGCGUGGGGAGCAAACAGG